AAGUGAUGCCAUUUUCCUUCAUGGCUUGUCCUGUCCACUCCUCUGGGCUUUCCAAGCAAGCCAAUCAUGGAUUAGAGUGAGGGCCAAACCUCCAAGUUUUUGUUAAGGCUGGCUGCAGCUCCUCAACCUGUAUUUGCUGUUGUCAAUAGAUGGGCCCAUCAUCACAAUGCAUCAAGGCACAGUAACACUCCAAGCUGCUCCAUGUCCAUCCAGGAAUGCUCUCCACAGCCACAAUUUUAUCUCAAACUCUGGGAAAAAGACUUACUUUCAGAAACAGCAAGUGGUAGGUCUUGGUUUGGGACAUGACUACAGAUCAAAGAGCAGCUAUUGCAAGUAUAUAUCCAUGUAUAUCAACUUGGAUAAUGGAUAACCUCACCAAGAGCUCUGGUCAGCAAGCUGCUAUAAGACAAGAUGCAUGAUUACAGCAUAUCUAAAUUACUGAACAAGACAACAGCAAAAAAAGUCUGUUGAGAUCUUCAAUUCAUCAUCACCCACUGACAGAAAAGCAAUUUCCCUGAAGACUGUUCUGUGGAAAAAUUCAGAUAGAAUCUGGCUGAAAACAGGCUGUAUCUUGAUUUUUAGUGUUGAAGAAUUUAAUUUCAUUUUUAGAAUUUUUGUCAUGUA